GUUAGCCUGACCUCAGUGCCAGGGAAGGUUAUGGAGCAGAUUGUCUUGAGGGAGAUCACGUGGCGUGUGCGGGACAACCAGGAGAUCAGGCCUAGCCAGCAUGGGUUCACGAAGGGUAGGUCCUGCUUGACCAACCUGAUCUCCUAUGAUCUAGUAACCCGUCUGGUAGAAAAGGUCUUCUCACUACAAGAAAGACAUUGAGGCCCUGGAGUGGGUUCAAAGAAGGACAACAAGGCUGGAGGGGGGUCACCCCUUCAAAACUCCUUCCUCAUGAUGUCAUGUGACAUAGAAUGUCCCUUUGGCCAGUUUAAGUCAUCUGUCCUAAUGCUGUUCCUUCACAACUCCUUGAGCCCCUCGUUGUGUAUGGCCUUGGCUCUGCACAACACUGGUUAGCAGGAGCUAUAAACGUUAGUGUGUUAUCAACGUUGUUUUUCUCCUAGGACCAGACACUCUGAAGAAAACUAUUCCAUCCCAGCUGAAACUAAGUAAUUCAAAUGAUGUACUUGGCCACCUUGGCAGUGUGGAAGAGCUGACAUUUCUCCAUAGUAAAAGAACUUCAAUUUUGCACAAAAUCUCUGUCUCGGAUGCAGUGGUAGUGGCACUCUGCUAAGAGAAAGGACUGCACAGCGCUGGGCAUGAAUCACACGGCACAUUGAUAAGGAUGGACAUUACUCAUCGGAUACCAUGGAGCCAGUGUGGCAGAACCGUCAUGGUCUAUUUUGAACUUGUUAUCUCACGCUCACUUCCUCGUACAUCAUGCAUUAGCCUCAACAAUAACCUACUAAAAUAACCCACAUCUCUUGUUUCUAGGAAAGAUCUGCUGCUGCUUACCAUCAUUCAAUGUGUUUACUUGUGAACAAGUCUGUAAGCAGCUACAAAAUGGAGUUUUAAUGAAGCUAUUAGUAGUUUGUCCUUACAUGCAUCUAUGACCCACUGACUCUUGCCUGUACUCUCCCGUGCUUGGCCUUCAGAGGAGUCUAAAAUUUAAUAUAUUUAAAUGUAUUAAAAAUUAAUUAAAAACUAUUUAUAAAAUUAAAUAAAUUUAAUAAAGCCCAGGUUUUAUUCAGAAGAUAAGUUAGCUAGCCACAGUUCAUUUUUUCUCUUAUUUCAGAUUUUUGUGCCAUUUACGUCAUGACCAGUCAAAUUAGCACAAUACUAGGGUUUUAAU